UUAGUACAACUUUUCUCCGAAAUGAAUACUUUUAAAGUUAUAAUCAAAAAACCAAGAAAAAAAUCGAAUUUUUCCUUAAUUUUUUGACAUUUUGAUUAUUUAAACAAUGUUCCGGACCUUUUUGAGAGGGAGGAUAACUCAAAUAUUAUUAUUUGAUUUAUUUUCAAGCAAUUUCUGCAAAAAAAUUUGAGUCACCUCUCAACGUCCAAAUGUACUAAUAUUUUUACAGAUGGGCCCUGGUCUAAAAUUCAAUUGAAAUUAAACGACCACAUGAGUUUAUUUUCAUUACAGAGAAAUGAGAAGUCCCAGAUCUAAACAAUAAACCUAAAAAUUCUCUUGGAACCACUUUCUGGCAACAUCAUUCAUCUCUACCUUUUACAAUUUAUAAAGCAGGAAGGCGACGAAAGGGACAAUAUACAGUCACAUUCCGUCUAUUCGUCUGGGAAAAAAAUCCAACCAAAGUUGAUUCCGUGUACUAAAAAUAUGAGUAAAAUGAAAAAUUAAAAAACAGCUUAUAGGGGAGUGCAUUUAGAUUUUCACUUCGGAAAAAAUCAAACAAGAUAAAACUUUUUGUAAUUUCAUUAAGAAAUGUUUAAUAAACAACAUAUCAAAAAGUUCUACUCGAGAAGUGGGUGCUUUAUUUUUUAUUAAACAAAUGAACAGCGAAGUUAGAUGUUUUUUUAAAUAACUCCGAAAAUAUAAUUUUUAGAAAAAAACUGACUUGACCAUUGAAAAAAUCAGAAAAUUUUACAAAAAAAACCUUAUAUAAAGAUUUUUCUAAAAUUAAAUCUCUAGCUUCUGUAAUUUUUUAUUUAUAACGCUAAAGUCACCCUUCUCACACAAAUUGGCGCACUGUAAACUAGCGUUGGAAGAAGUGCACGGUUGAAUUUUUUUAAUGUAAUUCUUUAACUAAUGGAUCAAAAUAAAUUUUACAAAUUGGACAUGAAAGAAGAUGAAAUAAGCUAUCUUAUGGUUGUAAUAAAAAUAAAUAAAAUGUAUGGACAUAAGUACGGUCUUGGCGGAAAGUGAGCCUUACAUGAAUUUUGUUUAAAAAUGAUUUAAAAAUGUGUAACUAAUACAAUUUUACUUAUAAAACUCUCAAAUUUGCACAACUUAACUCUCAAUAAUCUUACUAAACGAGGUUUUAUUCAAAAAAAAUCUCAAAAAUUGGAUUCAAAUAAUACGAUGUCUCAAAAAAUGUAAUUUUUGAAAACUUCGUAGUUAUACAGAAUUCCCACCACUUUAAGACGGUAUUACUCAAGUUUGAAUAAAUCUAAUACAAUUUUUUUGCUAAUUUUUUAAAGCUUGGGAUGUAAUCUUUAAAAAACACUGAGUUAUUUUAGUUUAAAAAUGAAAUAAACAAUUUAUUUUUGAGAAAACUAAGAAAGAUAACAAAAAUGUAAUACAAAAACCGAAAAUUACCAGCUGAAAAGAUGUAUAUACAGAGUGAUCAAAACUUUUUCUGUAAAACUUACCUAAAAUACAUUUAAUAAUAAGCUUCAACAAUAAUAAAUGUUCAACAAAAAAAUUUUUUUAGCUAGAUAAAUGUCUGCGUAACUUGGAACCUAUUGAUAACUUUUUUAAUAUCAGUUCUACGAAGUUAUUCUUUAUAAAAUACUCUGCAUCGUAUAUAACAUAAGCUGCAACCAUCAAAUAUCAAAUUUUGUUAAUUUUGUACGAGGUAUGUCAAAAAAUAUGAAUUUCAGUCAAAAGUAAAUUACCUUUAUAUUUCAAAAUAUCGAAAAUUUUUAUAAAGAAAAGUUGUUUGGAAUUAAAAACUAUGUUCCAAUAUGUAAUUAUAUCCUUCUAAUCGAAUAGUUGUUUUUUUUAAUAUUCUUUCUAAUACAUUUUAAUUUUUAAUAUUAUUGUGAAAAUUAUUUGUUUAUCUUUUUUUUUAAGAAUGAAAUUCCAUAUUUGUUUGAUUGGAUUCUACUUGUUUUUCAUUUAAAUAUCCGCCAAUUUGGAUCCGCCAUUUUGAAAUUUAAAUUUUUAAUCUUUAAUUCAGAUUCAACAACCUGCUAAAAAUAAAGGCAAUAAAUGUUUUAGAAAAAUGUUCUUUUUUAUGUUCUUUUUAGAAAAUCCGCAUUUUGGAUCCGCCAUUUUAUAGUUUAUAAUGUUAACAUUUAAGUUAGGUUUAUCAAAGCACUCAAAAAUAAAUAUAUGUAGAAAUAAAUACAUUUUGUAAAGAAAUUAUGAUUGUACUAUUUUUUCCGCCAUUUGGGAUCUGCCAUUUUAUAAUUUAAAUUAUCAAAAUUUGAUUCAGGUUCAGCAACCUCCCAAAAAUAUCCACAUAUAUGCAAAUAAACACGUUCUAUAAAAAAAAAUCGGAUUUUACAACUACUUUUAAGGAUUCUUAGGAAAAAAUCCGCCAUUUUGAAUUUGCAAAUUGUAAUGUCAGAUUCGGGUUCAGCAUAAUCAAAACUAAAAUAAAAACAUUUCUUAUCAAAAUAAAAUGUUGAAUUCACCCAUAUUCUUAACAUUAUUUAUACAAAACAAUUGUUAUUGUUUAAACAAUUAAUAAACAAUUAGCGGCGAAAUUUGUGAGUACAACUUUUUACUUUAACAUAUUUAUAAACCAACAAAAAAAGUUUUAGAAAAAUAUAACCUUGUUUGAUUUUUUCCGAAACAUUGUAUCUUUUCGUUCUAAUUGCACUCCCCUAUUAAGUUUAUUUUCAUUUCAGAGGUCAUCCCCAUCCGUACAUUUCUGUCUCUCCAGGCGUCUUCAGAGGUGUUCAUGUAGCCCCACUGAAAACGUCUGGAGAGACAGAAACGUACGUAUGGAGAUAAUACAUCAGCUCUGAACCAAAAUGAAACAUAAGCUGUUUUUUAAUUUUUAAUUUUACUCAUAUUUUGAGUACACAGAAUCAACUUUCGUUUAGUUGGCAUUCUUCCUAGACGAAUAAACGGAAUGUGAUUGCAUAUUGUAGAGUCCCCUUCAUCUUCUUUAUUCAUGGUAUCCUUGCCUUACAAAUUGUAAAAGUUAGGGAUUAAAGAUGUUACCAGAAAGUGGUUCUAAGAGAAUUUUCAGAUUUAUUGUUUAGGUCUGAGAUUUCUCAUUUCUCUGUAAUAGAUGUUGCUAUCGCUAGAGCGUCCGAUAACCAGAAAUAUUUUUACAAUUCUGUUUAAAUAGGCAGCUUGAUUUUGUUUCGAUUCAGAGGUGUUCAUGCAACCCCACUGAAGACGUGUGGAUAGACAGAAACGUAUGUAUGGGGAUGGUGGAUUACCUCUGAACCGAAAUGAAACAAGCUGUUUUUUAAUUAUUUUCCGAGUUGUGUAUGUACCAGUAUCUACUUUAGGUACAUAUAACAACAGCUAUUUUAAUGUAUGAGUCAUAGUAAGUGUCCCCUUUAAUAUGCGUUGUCAGUAAACGUGUUAAGUUAAACUGCUUUGGGUCGUGAAUUGACGUUAAAUAUUUAUACAUUUGUACCUAAAACAUAGUUUACUUCACUUUUUUCAUUAUUGGCACUUGUUUUCAAUAUUUGUUUGUUAGUUUGACGAUGUGUCUUCUUGUUUAUUUUUAGCGACAAUGUACCUUUAGUAGAACUCGACUUUUGAUAGUUGUUUUAAUUUUUAGGACGUUUUUGUAAUAUAUUGUAAGAAAUUUUUAAUGUCUGUUGCAUUUUAGUAACAAUAAAUUUAUAAUAAAAAGAUA
rnacentral:lncRNA from 1 species